rnacentral:rRNA from 1 species
UAAUGCCUAGGAAUCUGCCUGGUAGUGGGGGACAACGUUUCGAAAGGAACGCUAAUACCGCAUACGUCCUACGGGAGAAAGCAGGGGACCUUCGGGCCUUGCGCUAUCAGAUGAGCCUAGGUCGGAUUAGCUAGUUGGUGGGGUAAUGGCUCACCAAGGCGACGAUCCGUAACUGGUCUGAGAGGAUGAUCAGUCACACUGGAACUGAGACACGGUCCAGACUCCUACGGGAGGCAGCAGUGGGGAAUAUUGGACAAUGGGCGAAAGCCUGAUCCAGCCAUGCCGCGUGUGUGAAGAAGGUCUUCGGAUUGUAAAGCACUUUAAGUUGGGAGGAAGGGCAGUAAGUUAAUACCUUGCUGUUUUGACGUUACCGACAGAAUAAGCACCGGCUAACUCUGUGCCAGCAGCCGCGGUAAUACAGAGGGUGCAAGCGUUAAUCGGAAUUACUGGGCGUAAAGCGCGCGUAGGUGGUUCGUUAAGUUGGAUGUGAAAGCCCCGGGCUCAACCUGGGAACUGCAUCCAAAACUGGCGAGCUAGAGUACGGUAGAGGGUGGUGGAAUUUCCUGUGUAGCGGUGAAAUGCGUAGAUAUAGGAAGGAACACCAGUGGCGAAGGCGACCACCCUGGACUGAUACUGACACUGAGGUGCGAAAGCGUGGGAGCAAAC